rnacentral:lncRNA from 1 species
UAUCUACAUAAAUGAGGGUCUGAAUGGGGGGGUCUGUUAUUCUGUAAACAUUUAAUUUUCACCCCUUUUUUCUCUAAUCUUCAAAAAAUAAGUCUAUUCUUUAAAAGUGAUUUUUUACGCAUUAUUCUCUAAUUUUUUCCCCCAUUUUCUUUAAUCUUUAAAAAAAAAGUAAAAAACAUUCUUUUAAAUGAAUGAGAACAGUGACUUCCAAACAACAGCAAGACUUUCAUUUGUUUCUCAACAAUGACGCGUUGAUGUGUAUUGUUCUGCAUGAUUAAAGUGCUAGUUCCUUGAAGUAACAAGUCCAAAUUCUCAUCAGUUCUUUCCAGUGAUUUUGACUACAUUUAAGAAGAUGUGGUGUAAUUGCCAAUGAGACAACUCUUCAAAGAGACCAAAUGACACAUAAAUUAACAACUAUAGGUCACUUUACGGCAUUUAACAAUGAAUAAAAGCCAACCGCAUAAUCACCUAUAAACAGGGC